GACGAACGCUGGCGGCGUGCCUAAUACAUGCAAGUAGAACGCUGAAGGAGGAGCUUGCUUCUCUGGAUGAGUUGCGAACGGGUGAGUAACGCGUAGGUAACCUGCCUGGUAGCGGGGGAUAACUAUUGGAAACGAUAGCUAAUACCGCAUAAGAGUAGAUGUCGCAUGACAUUUGCUUAAAAGGUGCAAUUGCAUCACUACCAGAUGGACCUGCGUUGUAUUAGCUAAUUGGUGAGGUAACGGCUCACCAAGGCAACGAUACAUAGCCGACCUGAGAGGGUGAUUGGCCACACUGGGACUGAGACACGGCCCAGACUCCUACGGGAGGCAGCAGUAGGGAAUCUUCGGCAAUGGACGGAAGUCUGACCGAGCAACGCCGCGUGAGUGAAGAAGGUUUUCGGAUCGUAAAGCUCUGUUGUAAGAGAAGAACGAGUGUGAGAGUGGAAAGUUCACACUGUGACGGUAUCUUACCAGAAAGGGACGGCUAACUACGU
rnacentral:rRNA from 1 species